rnacentral:rRNA from 1 species
UACGUAGGGUGCGAGCGUUAAUCGGAAUUACUGGGCGUAAAGCGUGCGCAGGCGGUUUUGUAAGCCAGAUGUGAAAUCCCCGGGCUUAACCUGGGAAUGGCAUUUGGGACUGCAAGGCUCGAGUGCGGCAGAGGAGACUGGAAUUCCUGGUGUAGCAGUGAAAUGCGUAGAUAUCAGGAGGAACACCGAUGGCGAAGGCAGGUCUCUGGGCUGACACUGACGCUCAUGCACGAAAGCGUGGGGAGCGAAACAAACGGAU